rnacentral:lncRNA from 1 species
GGACAGUUUCAUCCCCUCUGAGGAGGCAGGGGGUGUAAAUAAGCCCUCAGCCAACAGCGAGAAGAGCUGGACAAAUCACAGUACGAGACAGAGUAUACCACGGGAGGAGAGACUGGCAACGAACUGGACUCAGAGCAGUGGGAGAGGUGACACACAUGCAGUACCAGGUCCCUCUUGUUGAACACCAGCAAGACCCUGUCUGAGAUAGCCUCCAUGUCCGCCUCGGGGUGCUCCUGGCUGUGGUUGGGCAACACAGUGCCUGCUGGGGAUCUGGGGGUAGCUGGGUGGAGUCCACCACUACUUGGGUCAGGUUAGCCUGCUACACCCUGAAGGGAACAGAACACAUUAGAAUUGUACAUUUUUGUUGAAUCAGAACAUUUACUGUAUCUCUAUGCGGACUCUCCCCCACCCAUAGGGACUAGCAGCAGCAGGAUGCUUAUUCUGACCACCUUAUUCCUGCCCUUCCACAGGUUAUGAGCCCUAGAUCCCCUGACAGACACACAGAAAGUCACCUUAAGUACAAGAACUAUCUGCACUUCCUACUGGGCCCACUGUCUCCCUGCAGUCAGCUGGUCAAAGUCUGUGGGGGGAGGUGUGUGUGUGUGUGUGCGCACAUUGACAGGGCCUACAGUAUGUUGUCUGAUCCCUGGGUGAGAAGGAGUGUGUGUACUCAGGGAGGGGUAUAUACACAUUUGUCCUUCCCCAAACUGUUGCCACAAAGUUGGAUGCACAGAAUCAUCUAGAAUGUCAUUGUACACCGUGGCGUUAAGAUUUCCCUUCACUGGAACUAAGGGGCCUGGCCCGAACCAUGAAAAACAGCCCCAGACCAUUAUUCCUCCUCCACCAAACCUUACAGUUGGCACUAUGCAUUCGGGCAGGUAGCGUUUAUCUGGCAUCCGCCAAACCCAGAGGCAAAGGGUGGCUACUUUGAAGAAUAAAAAAUAUAUUUUGAUUUGUUUAACACUGUUUUGGUUACUACAUGUUUUCUUAUGUGUGUAACCCUCUCACCGGGCUCAAAUGUUAUCUUACUUAGAAUAUCUCAACAGCAUGGGAUAUUAGGUGAGAAGGACAUCUCCAAUAAGAAUCCCUAUUGAAAACUCGCUAGGGUGAUGACAACUAGGGUAUUAACUUCAGAUACAGUAGAACGUUUAUAGAUUUUUGUUAUUAUAUAAGGAUAUGCUUUCCCAUGCAUUUAAAUGAAACUGAAACAGUAAAUGACUCCACCAAUGCAACAGACAUAAGGUUCAAGAUGUAUAUUUUCACAUUUUGAAUCUACCACAUGAAAAGAAAUGAAAAUAAUAAACCCCAAUGAUUUUUCACAACCCAUGUCCAAAUUACUUGCAAACUUGCUUAAACCCGUUGGCGCGCGUUGGAGCUAAAACAAAUUAUGACACACAUAAAAUCCCGAAGCACCCCACCGUUGUGAUUACUCACUACUCGUAGAUAUUUCCUCAGCGAAGUAUAGCAGUUCCGUGCAGGUGUCCUCACAAGAUCCACAGCAAGCACAGUUAUCAAUGCAGACAGUACUCCUUAGCACCAACAGAUAUCCCAUGGAAACAUGAACUCGUUAAUCUUCCGCAAGCAAUUCUCUCCAGGUCUCGCACGAUGCUAAGCUAACCUCGAGUUCUCAAAUACCUCCAAGAUGCAACGGCCUCCAGUUAACCAGGUCAACUCUGCCAUUGGCCGGCCACAGCUUAAAACAAGCGACCUUUUUGGUCAAAACUUAAACUGUAAUGUAACCAACCUAUUCACUUGUACAUUAAAGAAAUAUUUAUUCAAAAGAAAUGCAUUAACGACAUUAAAAUUCAGGAGCAAUUCGAUCACCUUUUAAAUCUAAUACCAAAUAAUUAUAACAAGUAAACUCUAUACUUGGUUUUAACAAGGGUAUUACUGUCAUGAAUCCCGCUUCCUGAGUCUGUGUUCUGCCUGAGCUGCCUGUUUCUGUUUUGGAGUUGUUUCCUGAGGUUUCUGAACGCACCCUGUCUGGUUGCCGGGCGACGAAGCUAGGCGGGAGAUCUCUCAAUUACCCGCACCUGCAUCUCAUCAGCCAUCUGCACACCUGGUCCUGAUCAUCACCUCUUCUCUUCAUAAACUCUGACCUGACAUCCAUUCAUUGCCGGAUCGUUAGCAAUGAACAUCAUUCUCCCUGAACAUUCACCCCCCCCCCCUCCCUGCCUGGUCGUCGGUGGCUUCUGUGACAUCAUUGGAUCUGCCUAUUCACUCUCAUCAACUCACCUCCGCUGCCGCUCCGUCUCCUGGAUUAUUCUGUUUUCACCUUGACUCUGUAAAUAAAUACUCACCUUCAUUUUACUCACCUUGUCCUGGUCGGCUUCUGGGUUCUGCUUUAAAUAAUUGUGACAAUUACAUGUGUUAUUUCAUUUGACUGGUACUGAAUACUUUUUUUAUUCUUCCACUUUGACAUGUGUAGAAUGUUGGCAAAAAAUGACAGUAUGGCAAAAUAAAAAAUGAAAUCGUUUUAAUGGCUUUCUCCAUUCUCCAUUCUGAUUGUUUUAUACUCAAACAAACUAGGACAAAACUGACAGUGAAGUAGUCCAAUUUGUAAAUCUGUUCAUUUGUUUAGCACUGUAUCAAAACAUUGUUAUAGACUGUAUUGUAAAAAUCCAUACCGUAUGUGGAUCCAUACCAGGUAACUUAAAAUAGAAUAUAUCGCCCAGGUUUAUGGUGAUUUUCUUCAGAAGGUUGUGGUAAUUUGAAUCUAGAGCAUAAUAAUAUUCAGCCACUCUAGGAGGAGCAUAAUGGUUCAAUUGAAGAUGCUUGUUUCUAACUAUGAAUCUUGGACUGCAUGGUAGUGAGUUUCCUUUCUGCUUGUGUCUGAUGGAUGACCGAGCUACAGGUGAAGGAGCCUCUACUGUUCUCAGGAAAUCCUUUGUUUAAGGCAUGUUUUUCAGCCAUGUGAUCUCACACACACUCACUCCAUCUUACCCUGAGUCAACCAAGGGGAGUGGGCACACAGAGCGGAUCUGUGGCUGUGAACCCCAUUGCCCCCAAUUACACCACGUAUGCUGGAUUUCACUCAUAAGAAUGAAGUGUACUAUUUUUAGGUGAACUACAUAACAAAGAUAUUCAAUUACUUGAAAUGAAAUGUACAUUUUGACCAUAAAGCCUUGUACAACAAAAUGUGGUGUACU